rnacentral:lncRNA from 1 species
UCUUUACCGUUCAGCAUCCCUCUGUCUAUUUACACUUGGUGUUAACGUUGACUCAUUUGUCUUGAAAUAGUCAUGGAAGGGAUACGUCAUCUGUUAAUGCUUUUGUGAAGUAAGUUAAAUGAGCUUUCUGUAUUUUAAUGCUUUAGUGUUUCAGUUUUAUAAGUGAAGAUUUUAUUUUAAAAACCAGUGGGAAAGAAGUGGGGUGGGGUUCACAAGCAAUCUGCUGGGGUUAAUGAGAGCACUUUCAGGCUCAGGACGCUUCAAAAGCCACUCACAACUGGCCUGGUGUCUCAACUUGGAGAGUAGGACCACUCAGUGGCCUGAGUUUAAAAUUCUCAGGGGGUCUAUGUCUAGCCCAUGACCUCUCAGCCAAUGACAACUAUCUCUUGUGGCUGUCUCCUACCCAGUCACUGUGGUAAGGAGACCCCAGAAAUGGAAAAGUAUAGUUGUUGUGUAGCUCAGUCUUAAAACAAUUAACCCCUUCCCAAAAUGGUUCCUACUGUAAUUAAACCCUCUCAAUACGGUGGCCAUUGCACUGGGAUUCUCCAACUCUAGUCUGCCAUAUGGCAGGAGUCAGUUUCUUAUUAAAACUCCAUCUGCUUACAAUAACCAUGGAUUUUUUUCAUGGCAAUGUUGCCAGCCUGGUCUGUUGUUUUUCCCCAGGGGUGUUGAUCCUCUCUAGGCUUACCUUGUGGAAUCAGACAGGACCUCUUCCCGGAGAGCUGGAAUUAGUUUUCCAGAGGCUUUGUUCUUGCCUCUGCAUUGUGGUUCAUUCCUCCAACUUCUCUGUAGUUUCUAGUUUUCCUGUCAGCUUCCUCUCAAUUUUGAGAUCUACUUUUUUCUUCACCAACUUGUUCUUUUCCAAGCGUCUUAAUUCCAGUUCCAAGCAUCUUAAUUCCAGGUCCCAGAGAGGCUGUUUUUUGCUAUUGGUCAUUACUCUGCCUUUUUUUUUUUUUGGUACCAGUGAUCAAACUCGGGUCCUUGCACUUGCGCAGCAGGCGGCGAAACCACUGCACUAA